AUUGAACGCUGGCGGCAUGCCUUACACAUGCAAGUCGAACAGCAGCACGGGAGCAAUCCUGGUGGCGAGUGGCGAACGGGCGAGUAAAGUAUCGGAACGUGCCCAGUCGUGGGGGAUAACGUAGCGAAAGUUACGCUAAUACCGCAUACGAUCUAUGGAUGAAAGCGGGGGAUCGCAAGACCUCGCGCGAUUGGAGCGGCCGAUAUCAGAUUAGGGAGUUGGUGGGGUAAAGGCUCACCAAGCCGACGAUCUGUAGCUGGUCUGAGAGGACGACCAGCCACACUGGGACUGAGACACGGCCCAGACUCCUACGGGAGGCAGCAGUGGGGAAUUUUGGACAAUGGGCGAAAGCCUGAUCCAGCCAUGCCGCGUGCAGGAUGAAGGCCUUCGGGUUGUAAACUGCUUUUGUACGGAACGAAAAGGUUUGGCCUAAUAAGCUGAGCUCAUGACGGUACCGUAAGAAUAAGCACCGGCUAACUACGUGCCAGCCGCCGCCGUAA
rnacentral:rRNA from 1 species